rnacentral:rRNA from 1 species
GUGGGGAAUAUUGGAUAAUGGGCGAAAGCCUGAUCCAGCCAUGCCGCGUGUGUGAAGAAGGUCUUCGGAUUGUAAAGCACUUUAAGUUGGGAGGAAGGGCAGUAAGUUAAUACCUUGCUGUUUUGACGUUACCAACAGAAUAAGCACCGGCUAACUUCGUGCCAGCAGCCGCGGUAAUACGAAGGGUGCAAGCGUUAAUCGGAAUUACUGGGCGUAAAGCGCGCGUAGGUGGUUUUGUAAGUUGGAGGUGAAAUCCCCGGGCUCAACCUGGGAACUGCCUACAAAACUGAAUGACUAGAGUACGGUAGAGGGUAGUGGAAUUUCCUGUGUAGCGGUGAAAUGCGUAGAUAUAGGAAGGAACACCAGUGGCGAAGGCGACUACCUGGACUGAUACUGACACUGAGGUGCGAAAGCGUGGGGAGCAAACAGGAUUAGAAACCCCUGUAGUCC